ACGAGUUAGGGUCUCCUAGGCCCGACCUCCCAACCCAAUGUUUAUUUAACCAUUGUUGCUUCGGCGGGCCCGUCUCACGGCCGCCGGAGGACCGUAACACGUCCUCUGGCCCGCGCCCGCCGGUGGCCAUCACAAAACUCUUGUCUAAAUCGUGUUUUAUGUCUGAGUUAAAGUCUUAAAUAAAAGCA
rnacentral:misc_RNA from 1 species